UUUCUUGUGAUUACUUGCUGCUCUACUCUUCUGAAAAAGAAUACUGCAGUCGUAUGUUGCCUGAGCCAUGAGAUCUACAUACUGUAUCUGUCUACUUUCAAAGCACCUAUUGCUACAUAGAGAUCUUUCCAGGCUAAUCCUUCCCUAGCUUAUAGAAAGAAAUUCUGCAACACUAAUACUGCUGAAUGCAAGAACGCACAGAGCUUGACUUCUGGAAGAGGUCACUAAGGGAUGUGAUCCAAUGUGCUCCACAUCUACUGGAAAUGCAGCUGUAGUAUUAGCAUGCUUUGGAUUGGGUUAUAUCAUUGAAUCAUAUAUGGGCAAUAAAUAGAAUAACUCCUAA